UUAUAUUGGGAUUUUGGCCCAAAUGUUAUCUCUUCAUCUGUGGCCCAAUACCAGCAUGUAACCGGCCCAUCUUGGAGCAAGCCCACACUUGAAAAAGCCCACGUGGAGAAUUGGUCUUGACCCAAUUAAGGGGUCAAAACGUGAAAAACGAUUAAUCUCUCCACCGAUAUACUGAUUCGGCUCUCUGCUUUUUUGUCCUCUUUUCUGGUCCGAUUUCUCCGCCGGAAAUCUGUGACACCAGUAUCCCGAUCCCUCGGCUUCCGUUGAAGUCGGUUCUUGGGGGCUAUUAAAUAGACCUCUUCUUCGUGAGAGAACAGUGACCAAGAGAGACCAAGAAAAUUCAACCUACGUUACACCUUGUUCGUAAAUCUUUUCUUCGUGACUGAUUCGACUCUUUGUGAGUCUCAACUCUUUGUGAGUGUUUGGGUGUUGGGUUGAGUGCUGUGUGUGUUUGAUUUAUUCGAACUCUUGGUCCUUUGUGUGUUUGGGGCUUUUUCGGGUUUUUCCGGUUAGAAAUCUGAGAGGGAUUUGGGUAUUGGGCUUGUUCCGGUGGGUGCGUGGCUGCGGCUGGUGAGUCUUGGACGAGGACGGAUGGGAAUUGAGACUGAGCCGGGAACCUCAAUCGUCGGCAGAGAUUCAUCCUCCCACGAAUCUGUGUGAUUCGCCGUGGUUCUUCUUUCCCCUUUAUUACUCUAGUUUUUCCUUAUUAUUUGUGUUAUUUGUUUCCUACUUUUUGCAAUUAUUCUGAUUUUCUUGUAGUCUUUAUAAUUGUUAUGAUUUGCAGUUGUUGUUAGGUUUAAAUAAUAUAAGUAAUAAUUAGAGUCCUGUACCCUUAUUCCCAUAAUUGUUUUGUUUUCGGUAAUUGCUGUCAUAUGCUAUAAUUAAUUGAUUUAGUUGAUUUAUUAUAUAUUAUAUUUUAAUUGUUUCGAAUAAAAUAUGAGUAUUUUGAUUUUGUGUGGUUUGUCUUCUCCGGGCGGAUACCCAACAGUGAUAUCAGAGCGUUGUUAAGGGUCCGUCCGGAGCGGCGUACGAAACCCUGGUCCAGGGGUUUCGCUCAGGUAGUGUCUUACGGCAAUGAUGAUCUCGUUUUUCCCCUUAAAUGUCCCGAUGACUCAUUUGGGCCAGGUGGAGAUUAUUGGGAUUUUGGCCCAAAUGUUAUCUCUUCAUCUGUGGCCCAAUACCAGCAUGUAACCGGCCCAUCUUGGAGCAAGCCCACACUUGAAAAAGCCCACGUGGAGAAUUGGUCUUGACCCAAUUAAGGGGUCAAAACGUGAAAAACGAUUAAUCUCUCCACCGAUAUACUGAUUCGGCUCUCUGCUUUUUUGUCCUCUUUUCUGGUCCGAUUUCUCCGCCGGAAAUCUGUGACACCAGUAUCCCGAUCCCUCGGCUUCCGUUGAAGUCGGUUCUUGGGGGCUAUUAAAUAGACCUCUUCUUCGUGAGAGAACAGUGACCAAGAGAGACCAAGAAAAUUCAACCUACGUUACACCUUGUUCGUAAAUCUUUUCUUCGUGACUGAUUCGACUCUUUGUGAGUCUCAACUCUUUGUGAGUGUUUGGGUGUUGGGUUGAGUGCUGUGUGUGUUUGAUUUAUUCGAACUCUUGGUCCUUUGUGUGUUUGGGGCUUUUUCGGGUUUUUCCGGUUAGAAAUCUGAGAGGGAUUUGGGUAUUGGGCUUGUUCCGGUGGGUGCGUGGCUGCGGCUGGUGAGUCUUGGACGAGGACGGAUGGGAAUUGAGACUGAGCCGGGAACCUCAAUCGUCGGCAGAGAUUCAUCCUCCCACGAAUCUGUGUGAUUCGCCGUGGUUCUUCUUUCCCCUUUAUUACUCUAGUUUUUCCUUAUUAUUUGUGUUAUUUGUUUCCUACUUUUUGCAAUUAUUCUGAUUUUCUUGUAGUCUUUAUAAUUGUUAUGAUUUGCAGUUGUUGUUAGGUUUAAAUAAUAUAAGUAAUAAUUAGAGUCCUGUACCCUUAUUCCCAUAAUUGUUUUGUUUUCGGUAAUUGCUGUCAUAUGCUAUAAUUAAUUGAUUUAGUUGAUUUAUUAUAUAUUAUAUUUUAAUUGUUUCGAAUAAAAUAUGAGUAUUUUGAUUUUGUGUGGUUUGUCUUCUCCGGGCGGAUACCCAACAAAUUAAGACGUGGUGAGUAUUCAGAACUUGAUUAUGCGAUAGCAAACCAUCAAAUUCAGCUGAAACUCGAGAUGCCGUGGUACUCCGAUUCGAGAAACCCGUAAAAGUUCGUCUUAAAUCGUGUGCUGAAUGUGUUCCAAUUAGGAUUUCUAGAGGGGGAAAGAGAGAGAAGAAGAUAUGGACAUGCCACGUAAUUUCUGAUGCUAUGAUUUUCUUCAUUAAUGGAAUCUCCGGAGUUAACUUCUUGAUAAUUGGGAUAAUAGAAUGUCUAAUAUAGU